rnacentral:tRNA from 1 species
GCCCCCUUAGCUCAGCGGAUCAGAGCGCAUCGCUUCGGACGAUGAAGUCGGGGGUUCGAAUCCCUCAGGGGGUACCA